ensembl:lncRNA
GGGCAGCAGCCUUGUUGAAGCGUUAGUAGCUCGUUUGUGCCACAGCUGAGCCACCUGCCUGAUCACCCGCUCCUGUUUGAGAGACCAAAGCUCGGUGACAAUCACAGCCUAUUCUUCAGCACAGCUCAUUUACAUUUACAAUUGAGGUUUAAUUAAUUAGUCUUGUUUGGUGUCUGAUUUUAUCCCUACUGUGUGAGAUUUAAGAAGGAAUGUGGUGUGAGGAGCAAAACGAUAGAAUUGAGUAGAGCAUGGAAGAGUACUGUGAUAAUGUAAAGAGUAUUGUGAUCAGACGUGAGGAGUAGUGUGAUCCUAGCAAGAAUUUGUCAGUAGAAGUAAGAGCCUGGUUACACCUCAAAUGAGGCGUGUUGUGAUGGUUCGAUUGGAGCAUGCUGGGUUCGUCUCAAGUGUUUAUGUGUGUUUCAAACAGCUCAAACACAUUUAGUCUUCAAUACACUACUCCAAGAUGUUCUAUUUGACUGUAUUUGGCUCAGUCCGUUCUCUUUUUUUUUUCUGUCUCCAAAUCCCACCAUCCCCUUUGUCUGAUAACGCUGACUUGUGAGGACAAAUGUGUGCGGUUCAUCAGCAGAGGUUGAGAUUUAACAAAUGAAAAAAAAAAACUGAUGAAUAAAAUCUCUAAACACGAACCAUGGCAGAAAAAAUCCAAUUAAAACUUCAUUUGAUGCUCCCAAAACCAGCAGGAAAAAAAGGAAUUUCAUUUAAAUAUUUCAGUGAUAACUGAGAGAGAAGUAUGAGAGAGGGG